GUGGGAGCUCAACCCGCGACCGCGGCUACGAUUCUCUUGGCUCCUGCCCUCGCCUUAGUCGCUCUGCGGGGUUGGUUCGGUCCCGGCACUUCCAGAGGCCUCAGGGUCCUGGUCUUGUAGAGACUUCCUGAACGGUGGCGCCUGUUCCAAAAUGUGGUUUACAGCUUCUAUCAGGAUUAGCUUCAGCUUCAAGUGACAAAAGUCACUUGAAAUAUGAGUUGCUGAAACAAGAUGGCAGUCUCUCCCCUCAACAGGACUGUUACAACACCUUAUCUUCAGAGAACCAGGCUCUCUGCAACAUUUCAGGGACGUCGUUCAGUACCUUAUGUGGAAUUCAAGCUUAGCUGGGCAUCCUAUGUUUUAACUGGCUAACUCGUGGAACUCUCAACUUGGAUCAAGUGGUAGUGGAGUCCCAGGGACUCUGAGCAGCCAGUGUGUGAUACUGCAGGGCAGCACACCCUGGGGAGGCCAACUGUACAGAAUAAAAUUAAUGCUUUCUAUCUUUAGCAACUAAAGUUCUGAAAUAUAAAAAGGACCUCACAGCUUAACCCAUGUUAUACGGUGGGGUUUUCCCAUGAACAUCACGCGUUUCCAGCUGGGCACUCCUGCAGCAUGGCUAAGAUGACAACUCAAGUUCCCUGGGAGUGGGGGUUCCUGGGAUGUGAACCUUUCGGUGCAAAAACUGGAGAAGUUCCAGUUGGGACCCCAGGCAUAGAUACUAGGAUAAAUAGGGCCUCUCUCCUCCAGGAGCAUCAAUUUAACCCAAAGAUUCUUGGAGUCAGUUUCACAUAAGUAAUCUUGUUGAAAAUAGUAAUCCCAACAGAUCUAUUUUUCCAAAUGCACCAUUUGCAUAAAUCUCAGAAAAAAGACAACUUCAAGAACAUACCUUUGCUGGGCACCAUGGCUCAUGCCUGUAAUCCCAACUACUUGGCAGGCUGAGGCACGAGGAUCACUUGAGGCCAGGAGUCUGAGAUCAGCUUGGGCAACUGAUUUAUGGUUUGGAUUUGUGUCCAUGCCCUUCCUCUUCUGCCAUGAUUAUAAGUUUCCUGAGGCCUCCCUAGCCAUGCUUCCUGUACAGCCUACAGAACUAUGAGUCAAUUAAACCUCUUUUCUUUAUAAAUUACCCAGUCUCAGGUAGUUCUUUAUAGUAAUGUGAGGAUGCACUAAUACAGCAAUAUAGUGAGAGCUCCAUCUCUACAAAUCUUUUUUAGAAAGACAGGACAU
rnacentral:lncRNA from 1 species